rnacentral:rRNA from 1 species
UACUAGAGUAGCACUCGCAUAUCAAUAAGCGGAGGAAAAGAAACUAACAAGGAUUCCCCUAGUAACGGCGAGUGAAGCGGGAAGAGCUCAAAUUUGAAAUCUUAAAGGGUUUCCCUUUAUGAAUUGUAGUUUAAAGAAGUGUUUUCUGUUGAGGUUUUGGUAAAAGUUCUUUGGAAUAGGACAUCAUAGAGGGUGAGAAUCCCGUAUUUGACCUUUACUUUCAACUUUGUGAUACGCUUUCAAAGAGUCGGAUUGUUUGGGAAUGCAGUCCAAAAUGGGUGGUAAAUUUCAUCUAAAGCUAAAUAUUGGCGAGAGACCGAUAGCGAACAAGUACCGUGAGGGAAAGAUGAAAAGAACUUUGAAAAGAGAGUUAAACAGUACGUGAAAUUGUCAAAAGGGAAGCGUUCGACACCAGUGUUGUUUUUCUGAAAAUCAAUUAAAGAACUGUUUAUGCUAAGUUGUUAGACUUUAUCAGCUAACUGUUUAGUUUUGAGCUUUUCUUUAAUGCACUUUUCAGUUAACAAGUCAACAUCAAUUUCUUUUGCUGUAAAAAAGCUUGAGGAAGGUGGCUUGAGAUUCGUCUUAAGUGUUUAUAGCCUCUUGCCUAUGCAGUCGGAGAGAUUGAGGUCUGCAGCGUAGAUCCUUCGGGGCUAAAUGCAUUUGUGCUAAGUUAUAACAUUUUAUAGACAACUUGUUGACUAUGAUUUGUCUUGUAGCUUACUCGCUUAUGUUAUUUUACCUACGCUUAGGAUGUUGAUAUCGCGCUCUCACUG